AUUGAACGCUGGCGGCAUGCCUUACACAUGCAAGUCGAACGGUAACAGGUUAAGCUGACGAGUGGCGAACGGGUGAGUAAUGUAUCGGAACGUGCCCAGUCGUGGGGGAUAACUGCUCGAAAGAGCAGCUAAUACCGCAUACGACCUGAGGGCGAAAGCGGGGGACCGCAAGACCUCGCGCGAUUGGAGGGGCGGAUAUCAGAUUAGGUAGUUGGUGGGGUAAAAGCCCACAAAGCCGACGAUCUGUAACUGGUCUGAGAGGACGACCAGCCACACUGGGACUGAGACACGGCCCAACCUCCUACGGGAGGCAGCAGUGGGGAAUUUUGGACAAUGGGCGCAAGCCUGAUCCAGCCAUGCCGCGUGCGGGAAGAAGGCCUUCGGGUUGUAAACCGCUUUUGUCAGGGAAGAAAAGGUUCUGGUUAAUACCUGGGACUCAUGACGGUACCUGAAGAAUAAGCACCGGCUAACUACGUGCCAGCAGCCGCUGUAAUAC
rnacentral:rRNA from 1 species